rnacentral:lncRNA from 1 species
GUGACACUGCCUGCGGACUUGGUGCUGGAUGACAGUCCUCACGUGGACAGUCGUUCUUUGGUGCACAAAGUCUUCUUACUUACAAAUGUCAGGACUAAUGAAAAAAGAAAAGCAGUUAGCUAAAAAUCAGAGCCUAUUCUCUGCAUAUUAGAAUGGCCAGCACUAGGAGUAAGUAUCUUCAUCCCCACCCCUCACCCCCCAUCGCCGCCUUCUGUACUAAAAACCAAGAACCGGGGGACCCCGCUUCACUCAGAGAGCAGGGCGCUGGUGUUCGGGGUUUGAAUCCAUCCCCGGGGAGCCCCGAAGCCAGCACCUGGAAGCCCAGUGAAUUCGCCUCUGAAAGUGCACAAGGGAGUGCAUAGCGAAGAUUGUUUGACUUUGAGGACAUCUAGUGGCCAUUUGUUGGUUGUGUUCCUCAAAGGUAGUGUUUUGAUUGUUUGUCUUCAAACUGGAUGACAGUGAAGUGCUGGCUCCUUAGCCAGGUCCUCAGAAGCCACAUCUUUCCCACAUCUAUAAAUAGAGGUGACUGCAAUUAGCUGGGGACCUGACAUGAACACCGGGGACAACUUGGACAGUAUCCAGCCCACACUAAAUUGUGGAAAUCAUGUGUUCUCUUUCUUUACCUUGGGCUGGAGUAGGGUCCUCCCUGUGCUUGACUUCUGGGUGGAAGUGUUGACCACCUCACACAGAACUCCAAGAAUGCUUGCUGAUCCAACCCCACUGAGUCGAAUCGUGCAAGCUUUUAAUAGUUCAGAUACCAUUGGGAUAAUUUCCCAUCAUGGCAGGUAAGUUUUUGUGAUGAAAAGAGUCUUCAAGUCUUGAAUCUGUGGACUGAGAAUUAAUUGAAACAAUAACAACCAAUUCUUUCUUUUUUUUUUUUUUAAGCCUCGGCAGUGAACAGUAUGCAGGCCCAGACACUCUAUGCUUGUGAGUAAGCCUUACACACAAACUAUUAAUGAAGGUAUUAAGGACUGAUCAAGUUUGGUAUUCACAAACACUAGCAGAUUAAUAAAGUUUAUUGAGGGCUCGAAUUUGUCUUUUUUUGAAUAUAUCUGGCAUGCUGUCUUGGUACUUGCAAAACAUCCAGGCAACUUGAAUUUCCAGAGGAACAUACUGUCAGGCAGUAUGAUUUUGAAGCCAGUUUUGUGUUUCAUUGUUUGUUAAUAUUAGAGAUUGCUGUCCAUUGAGUUUAAUCCCUUUCCAUUUGACUUGUACAUUGUUUGAGCACAUUUUUUUAUCGACAGAUAUUAU